UGGAAUGUAGCUCAGUGGUAGAGCAUUUGCUUAGCAUGUGCAUGGCCCUGAGUUCAAUCCCCAGCACCACAA
rnacentral:tRNA from 1 species